GUGGUGAUGGCUCUGCUCAGCUUGGUCUUUCUUAAUGUGCGGGCCUUUCUCCCCUCGCCCAGCCAGGUUCUGAGAGGGAGCAGAGUGCCCUGGGGGCAGGAGAGCCGGGACCUGGUGCUGCCACAGCCUUUGCCACGUCAGAUGUUCGCGGACGAAGAGCGCAUCAACCACGUGGGGGAUUCCUUACGUGCCCGCAGCGGCUCAUCCCACAGGAUGCCCAGGUGGUGACUCCUAAGGGCUUGGGUCCUAUUUUUUCUGCUACUGAAAGAGGAGUGUUGAGAUCUCCAGCUGGAAUUGUAACUGGCUUCAGUUCUGACUCGACCCAGUGCCCUUUGUAUCGUGAGGCUGUUGCACUCUGGUUCUUGGGAACGUGAACUACUCGCCCUCUGUUGAGUUCCAGGAAU